AGUGAACGCUGGCGGUAGGCCUAACACAUGCAAGUCGAACGGCAGCACAGUAAGAGCUUGCUCUUACGGGUGGCGAGUGGCGGACGGGUGAGGAAUACAUCGGAAUCUACUUUUUCGUGGGGGAUAACGUAGGGAAACUUACGCUAAUACCGCAUACGACCUACGGGUGAAAGCAGGGGAUCUUCGGACCUUGCGCGAUUGAAUGAGCCGAUGUCGGAUUAGCUAGUUGGCGGGGUAAAGGCCCACCAAGGCGACGAUCCGUAGCUGGUCUGAGAGGAUGAUCAGCCACACUGGAACUGAGACACGGUCCAGACUCCUACGGGAGGCAGCAGUGGGGAAUAUUGGACAAUGGGCGCAAGCCUGAUCCAGCUAUACCGCGCGGGUGAAGAAGGCCUUCGGGUUGUAAAGCCCUUUUGUUGGGAAAGAAAAGCAGCAGGUUAAUACCCCGCUGUUCUGACGGUACCCAAAGAAUAAGCACCGGCUAACUUCGUG
rnacentral:rRNA from 1 species